UAGAGGAAGUAAAAGUCGUAACAAGGUUUCCGUAGGUGAACCUGCGGAAGGAUCAUUAUUGAAUAACUUUGGCGUGGUUGUAGCUGGCCCUCUCGGGGGCAUGUGCUCGCCCGUCAUCUUUAUAUUUCCACCUGUGCACUUUUUGUAGAUCAUUGUUUUUGGAAGCUGGAUUGAAGUCAGAGAUUACUCUCUGAUGAAUUGAAGGCUUUCUCAAUGAUGGUCUACGUUUUCAUAUACUCCAAUGAAUGUAACAGAAUGUAUCUAUAUGGCCUUGUGCCUAUAAAACAAUAUACAACUUUCAGCAACGGAUCUCUUGGCUCUCGCAUCGAUGAAGAACGCAGCGAAAUGCGAUAAGUAAUGUGAAUUGCAGAAUUCAGUGAAUCAUCGAAUCUUUGAACGCACCUUGCGCUCCUUGGUAUUCCGAGGAGCAUGCCUGUUUGAGUGUCAUUAAAUUCUCAACCUUACCAGCUUUUGUUAGCUUGUGUAAUGGCUUGGACUUGGGGGUUUAUUUUGCCGGCUUCUUACCAAGUCAGCUCCCCUUAAAUGCAUUAGCCGGCUGCCCGCUGUGGACCGUCUAUUGGUGUGAUAAUUAUCUACGCCGUGGAUGUCUACUAUUAAUGGGUUGAAGCUGCUUCAAACCGUCUGUUUACUCAGACAAUUAAUGACAAUUUGACCUCAAAUCAGGUAGGACUACCCGCUGAACUUAAGCAUAUCA
rnacentral:rRNA from 1 species